AUACGUAGGGGGCGAGCGUUGUCCGGAAUUACUGGGCGUAAAGGGCGCGCAGGCGGCUGUUUAAGUCGGGUGUGAAAUACCGCGGCUCAACCGCGGGGCUGCACUCGAAACUGGACGGCUUGAGGGCAGAAGAGGGAAGCGGAAUUCCCGGUGUAGCGGUGGAAUGCGUAGAUAUCGGGAGGAACACCAGUGGCGAAGGCGGCUUCCUGGUCUGCCCCUGACGCUGAGGCGCGAAAGCUAGGGGAGCAAACGGGAUUAGAUACCCCGGUAGUCCUAGCCGUAAACGAUGGGCACUAGGUGUGGGAGGUAUCGACCCCUUCCGUGCCGGAGCAAACGCACUAAGUGCCCCGCCUGGGGAGUACGGCCGCAAGGUUGAA
rnacentral:rRNA from 1 species